CCCUAACAAUGAAGCGAUUCCCUGAAGACCCUUGCGGUCGCGGUUGGGAAACACUGUUAUAAACAAAUCUUUUUGAUCCACUCUCCGUUUUGUUGCUAUUUGAUCUUCUUUGCUUGUUCAAAGCUUCUAUUGUGUCACCGUCGCGUCAGUCCAGUUGAUCGUCCGUCUUCAUCCUUCUAUUGUUGAAUUAUUUUAUUGCUGUUUGAUCGUGAGCAUAGCAGUUUUUCUUGUUAAUUUCUAUACGUUUAAACACAAUUCGAGAGCUCAUCAAGCCGAACUGUGUAAGAAGUGAAUAUAUCUCAACGAAGCUAUCGAAUUCUAGCAAAUUGUUUCUGCUCUUUUCAGAUUAAUCGCUUAGUGUUCAAACCCACUGCACCUUUCCUUCUCUGAAACAUUGUGCUGCAAUUCUACGACAUUAUAAUGGACAUGGCAGCUACCCUCAAUAUCUCAAUUCCACAACUGCACGACCAACUUCGCUCCCUUGCCGGAGUAAUAGCGGUCAGGGAUCUAGAAGUGGUGUGUACAGGAGUGGUUCAGAUGAACGUAAUAUUAGUGGUUGAUCCAACGGCCGAAACGGACGAAAUUAUAGUCGCUGCCAAUGCCAUUGCCCGGGAUGGAUACAACAUUAAGAAGGCUCACGUACAAAUACAGAGGAUGCCAGAGGAUCAUAAACAAAAAUAAGAACGCUUGAUUGUGAUGUGGUGCUUGCAUCAUUAAGAAAAACAUCACGAAAAGUUGAAUAAAAUUUUACAUAAUUACUAGAA